rnacentral:rRNA from 1 species
UGGGGAAUCUUGUCCAAUGGGCGAAAGCCUGAGACAGCGACGCCGCGUGGAGGACGAAGACCUUCGGGUCGUAAACUCCUUUCGAUCGAGACGAAUGGCUUCCGGGUGAACAAUCCGGAGGAAUGACGGUACCGAGAGAAGAAGCCCCGGCUAACUCCGUGCCAGCAGCCGCGGUAAUACGGGGGGGGCAAGCGUUGUUCGGAAUUACUGGGCGUAAAGGGCUCGUAGGUGGCCAACUAAGUCAGACGUGAAAUCCCUCGGCUUAACCGGGGAACUGCGUCUGAUACUGGAUGGCUUGAGAUUGGGAGAGGGAUGCGGAAUUCCAGGUGUAGCGGUGAAAUGCGUAGAUAUCUGGAGGAACACCGGUGGCGAAGGCGGCAUCCUGGACCAACACUGACACUGAGGAGCGAAAGCCAGGGGAGCAAACGG